rnacentral:piRNA from 1 species
ACCCUGAUGGUAGCCAAUCUUCCAAGCCACUU